UGUGGGGGCGGGGGAGGGGGGGUGGAGUUCUAGGGUAAAGAAGAUUGAACAGGAUUCUUCAUCUUUUGAUUCAAUACACGGGACCGAGUUUUUCCAGAGGCAAGCUACAGUGAAUGCAAGCCAUAUAUGGUUAUCGGCCAGGGAGGAAAAAUAUGAAGCAGCUGGUACAGAGGCUGAAAUAUCGAGCAUACAACUGAAUGCCACAAGAAGACUGCUAAAUAAAUAACGACCCUAAAAUAUCCAUGUGUUUGGAUUACAAUAAGACCAUAAUUUUUAUGGCUCUUUGGAA